rnacentral:rRNA from 3 species
UGUGUGUUCCAGGUAAAUCCGGUUCACUUUAACACUGAGGCGUGACGACGAGGCACUACGGUGCUGAAGCAACAAAUGCCCUGCUUCCAGGAAAAGCCUCUAAGCAUCAGGUAACAUCAAAUCGUACCCCAAACCGACACAGGUGGUCAGGUAGAGAAUACCAAGGCGCUUGAGAGAACUCGGGUGAAGGAACUAGGCAAAAUGGUGCCGUAACUUCGGGAGAAGGCACGCUGACACGUAGGUGAAGUGAUUUACUCAUGGAGCUGAAGUCAGUCGAAGAUACCAGCUGGCUGCAACUGUUUAUUAAAAACACAGCACUGUGCAAACACGAAAGUGGACGUAUACGGUGUGACGCCUGCCCGGUGCCGGAAGGUUAAUUGAUGGGGUCAGCGCAAGCGAAGCUCCUGAUCGAAGCCCCGGUAAACGGCGGCCGUAACUAUAACGGUCCUAAGGUAGCGAAAUUCCUUGUCGGGUAAGUUCCGACCUGCACGAAUGGCGUAAUGAUGGCCAGGCUGUCUCCACCCGAGACUCAGUGAAAUUGAACUCGCUGUGAAGAUGCAGUGUACCCGCGGCAAGACGGAAAGACCCCGUGAACCUUUACUAUAGCUUGACACUGAACAUUGAGCCUUGAUGUGUAGGAUAGGUGGGAGGCUUUGAAGUGUGGACGCCAGUCUGCAUGGAGCCGACCUUGAAAUACCACCCUUUAAUGUUUGAUGUUCUAACGUGGACCCGUUACCCGGGUUGCGGACAGUGUCUGGUGGGUAGUUUGACUGGGGCGGUCUCCUCCUAAAGAGUAACGGAGGAGCACGAAGGUUGGCUAAUCCUGGUCGGACAUCAGGAGGUUAGUGCAAUGGCAUAAGCCAGCUUGACUGCGAGCGUGACGGCGCGAGCAGGUGCGAAAGCAGGUCAUAGUGAUCCGGUGGUUCUGAAUGGAAGGGCCAUCGCUCAACGGAUAAAAGGUACUCCGGGGAUAACAGGCUGAUACCGCCCAAGAGUUCAUAUCGACGGCGGUGUUUGGCACCUCGAUGUCGGCUCAUCACAUCCUGGGGCUGAAGUAGGUCCCAAGGGUAUGGCUGUUCGCCAUUUAAAGUGGUACGCGAGCUGGGUUUAGAACGUCGUGAGACAGUUCGGUCCCUAUCUGCCGUGGGCGCUGGAGAACUGAGGGGGGCUGCUCCUAGUACGAGAGGACCGGAGUGGACGCAUCACUGGUGUUCGGGUUGUCAUGCCAAUGGCACUGCCCGGUAGCUAAAUGCGGAAGAGAUAAGUGCUGAAAGCAUCUAAGCACGAAACUUGCCCCGA